rnacentral:rRNA from 1 species
UACGGAGGGGGCCAGCGUUGUUCGGAAUUAUUGGGCGUAAAGGGCGCGUAGGCGGCAGGAUAAGUCUGACGUGAAAUCCCUCGGCCUAACCGAGGAACUGCGUUUGAAACUGUCCAGCUCGAGUCCGGGAGAGGGUAGUGGAAUUCCCAAUGUAGCGGUGAAAUGCGUAGAUAUUGGGAGGAACACCGGUGGCGAAGGCGGCUACCUGGACCGGUACUGACGCUGAGGCGCGAAAGCCAGGGGAGCAAACAGG